rnacentral:rRNA from 1 species
UAGGGAAUCUUCCACAAUGGACGAAAGUCUGAUGAAGCAACGCCGCGUGAGUGAAGAAGGGUUUCGGCUCGUAAAACUCUGUUGUUAAAGAAGAACAUAUCUGAGAGUAACUGUUCAGGUAUUGACGGUAUUUAACCAGAAAGCCACGGCUAACUACGUGCCAA